CUCAUCUCCCCCGGCAACUUCCAAUCGAAAUGGUAAAGCAAAUUAGCGAGAGGAAGCUCAAUAUUGGCAAGACCAAAACUGAUACCUGGGCAUAUUCUCCUUCCAGCUCCAAAUGGAUCUUUCCAGUACUCUGGAUCUCUCCCUAUAGCCCAGACAUUGACGAUUACUUUUGUUUUUUCUGGGAUUUCAUAGCCACCAAUCUCACAUGUUUCUUUGCUUUCUCUUGGAAUUAACAAGGGAUUCUUGGGUUCCUGAUCAUUUCUGCUAAAGCCCAUUCUGUUGUUGUUGAUGAAGUAUCAGUUCCAGCUGCGAACAGAUCCUGGAGAAAAUUAAAACAACAGAAUUAUCACGUUAAUCACUUAGUCUACUGUAAAAAUAAUCGACAAAAAAACAGGUUUUGAAGUAGAAAUACUAACCCAAAUGA